AUCGUCCAAUCAGACAGUUCGUGGGGGAGAUUUGAAAACAGAAAUGGCGGAGGUCCGAACGGUGUUGCAGCGCUGUGAUCCGUAUCUGCUGGACCCCUGUGGAGACUCGGAGCAGCCGGACUGUACUGAGGCGGCCAGGAUGGUCCUCUACCUCACGGACAGUCGUCGUGUCCAGAAGGUUUUGUGGCGUCAGCUGUUCGUCCUGGACUCCAUGAUGUCUCUGCUGGAGGGUCUGGAGUCUGCCCAGCAACUGGUGACACAACCCUGCCCGCCCCAGCCUGAGGGCGGGGCUCGGGGCAGGUGGAAGGCUCUGAAGGUGGAGAACAGGUCGGGGGUGGAGGAGACGGAGACUAUGCUCAGAUCUUUGCAGGACAGGGUCCAACAGAUCCACAACAGACGACACACACUCACACAGCUGGUCCAACAGCUGCACAGCAAGAAGCAGCAGUGUGAACAGCUGGAGGAGUCCCUGCUGAAGGCCCAGAAUGCAUUGCAGUCAUGUGACCGUCAUCUGAGCCAGCUGAGGGCAGAGUCAGAGGCGGCGCUCGAUCAGCUGAUCGCCUGGCAGCGACUCAGAGACGAGCUGCAGGUAUACGUCUCUGCUGCUCAGGAUGUGAUGCAGAUCAACCUGCUGUCCUUCAGCCAAUCAGAGCUGUGUGUGGAGCUCAGGCCACGCCCCUCCUCUUACCUGUCGGCCAAUGAGCUGGAGCCACUGAAGCUGACCGUCACCUGGAGCCUUGACGACCGCUUCACACUGCAGGUGAACGAGGGGACAGCAGGUCUGGUGGAGGACUGUAUGUCGGGCCGGCGGUUGGAGUUGAGCGCCGCCCUGCUGGAGGUGAUGCAGUGUUACCUGGGUCAGGCUGAGCUGCUGUCAGAGAUCCAGGCCCUGAGGUCCAGGUGCGACUCCACUUCCUGUUUGUUCAAAGACCAGAACCUGCUUCCUGUCGUUUUGCGAUCGACUGGCGUCCUGCUCAGCGUCUGCUGGUCUACCUGAAGUCGGCGGUCUUGGUUUGUCACCUGGAGGUGGAGGAGGGAUACCCGAGCUGUGGACGAGCCCGGCUGUUGUCAGUGCACAGAGAUGGUCAACCUCUGGACACAUCUGGACUGAAGCCUCAUAAAUCAGACCUCAGUCUGACUGACUGGUUGGUUUUGCUCUGCAGCAGUCCACUCAUCUGACUUCACCUCUUUAUUUCUCCUCUCCUCUCCUCUCCUCUCCUCUCCUCUUUCUCCUCCUCUCCUCCUCUGUUACUUGUUGUUCUUCUGUCGUCCACCAGGUGUCAGUGUCUGACUUGUAUUUUUCUGUUGGACUCUGAUCUUUGAUUCGGAUUCUGUUUUUUUCUGUUUUCAUGUUAAACCUGUGUCCACCAGUUUGUCAGUCACCUGUUCUGUUGUUUAUUGUUGAUGUUUGUGUUUGUGUAUGACGUCACUGUACAAACAUCUCUGUGUAAAUAAACCUUUAAACAGCU